CCUACGGUAGGCAGCAGUCGAGAAUCAUUCACAAUGGGGGAAACCCUGAUGGUGCGACGCCGCGUGGGGGAAUGAAGGUCUUCGGAUUGUAAACCCCUGUCAUGUGGGAGCAAAUUAAAAAGAUAGUACCACAAGAGGAAGAGCCGGCUAACUCUGUGCCAGCAGCCGCGGUAAUACAGAGGUCUCAAGCGUUGUUCGGAAUCACUGGGCGUAAAGCGUGCGUAGGCUGUUUCGUAAGUCGUGUGUGAAAGGCGCGGGCUCAACCCGCGGACGGCACAUGAUACUGCGAGACUAGAGUAAUGGAGGGGGAACCGGAAUUCUCGGUGUAGCAGUGAAAUGCGUAGAUAUCGAGAGGAACACUCGUGGCGAAGGCGGGUGCCUGGACAUUAACUGACGCUGAGGCACGAAGGCCAGGGGAGCGAAAGGGAUUAGAUACCCCAGUAGUC
rnacentral:rRNA from 1 species